rnacentral:rRNA from 1 species
UACGUAGGGACCAAGCGUUGUUCGGAUUUACUGGGCGUAAAGGGCGCGUAGGCGGCGUGUUAAGUCACUUGUGAAAUCUCUAAGCUUAACUUAGAACGGUCAAGUGAUACUGAUGUGCUAGAGUGCAGAAGGGACAACCGGGAAUUCUUGGUGUAGCGGUGAAAUGCGUAGAUAUCAAGAGGGACACCUGAGGUGAAGACGGGGUUGCUGGGCUGACACUGACGCUGAGACGCGAAAGCGUGGGGGAGCAAACAGG